rnacentral:misc_RNA from 1 species
UCUAUUAUCAAGUCAGGAACACGG